UACGGAGGGGGCUAGCGUUGUUCGGAAUUACUGGGCGUAAAGCGCACGUAGGCGGCUUUGUAAGUUAGAGGUGAAAGCCCGGGGCUCAACCCCGGAAUUGCCUUUAAGACUGCAUCGCUAGAAUUGUGGAGAGGUAAGUGGAAUUCCGAGUGUAGAGGUGAAAUUCGUAGAUAUUCGCAAGACCACCAGUGGCGAAGGCGGCUUGCCAGAAUGCGCUCGACGGUGAGGGAUGAAAGCUGGGGGAGCAAACCGG
rnacentral:rRNA from 1 species